GGCGGAUGUAGCCAAGUGGAUCAAGGCAGUGGAUUGUGAACCC
rnacentral:tRNA from 1 species